rnacentral:rRNA from 1 species
GGCGAACGGGUGAGUAACACGUGGGUGACCUGCCCUCCACUCUGGGAUAAGCCCGGGAAACUGGGUCUAAUACCGGAUAGGACCACUGAUCGCAUGGUUGGUGGUGGAAAGUUUUUUCGGUGGGGGAUGGGCCCGCGGCCUAUCAGCUUGUUGGUGGGGUGAUGGCCUACCAAGGCGGUGACGGGUAGCCGGCCUGAGAGGGCGACCGGCCACACUGGGACUGAGACACGGCCCAGACUCCUACGGGAGGCAGCAGUGGGGAAUAUUGCGCAAUGGGCGGAAGCCUGACGCAGCGACGCCGCGUGGGGGAUGACGGCCUUCGGGUUGUAAACCUCUUUCGCCAGGGACGAAGAGCAAUUGACGGUACCUGGAGAAGAAGCACCGGCCAACUACGUGCCAGCAGCCGCGGUAACACGUAGGGUGCGAGCGUUGUCCGGAAUUAUUGGGCGUAAAGAGCUCGUAGGCGGUGUGUCGCGUCGGCCGUGAAAACUUGGGGCUUAACUCUGAGCGUGCGGUCGAUACGGGCAUCACUUGAGUUCGG